rnacentral:rRNA from 1 species
CAGAGCGAACGCUAGCGGCGGGCUUAACACAUGCAAGUCGAGCGGAGGGUUUCGGCCCUCAGCGGCGAACGGGUGAGUAACACGUGGGUAACGUACCCUUUGGUGGGGAAUAACCUAGGGAAACCUGGGCUAAUACCGCAUAUGUCCUUCGGGAUGAAAGUCUUCGGACGCCAGGGGAUCGGCCUGCGGCCCAUUAUUUAAUCCUAGUUGGUAGGGUAACGGCCUACCAAGGGUACGAUGGGUAGCUGGUCUGAGAGGAUGAUCAGCCACACUGGAACUGAGACACGGUCCAGACUCCUACGGGAGGCAGCAGUGGGGAAUAUUGGACAAUGGGCGCAAGCCUGAUCCAGCCACGCCGCGUGGGUGAUGAAGGCCUUCGGGUUGUAAAGCCCUGUCGGAGGGGACGAAGUCUUCGGAUUGACGGUACCUUCCAAGAAAGCACCGGCUAACUCCGUGCCAGCAGCCGC